rnacentral:rRNA from 1 species
UACGAAGGGGGCUAGCGUUGCUCGGAAUCACUGGGCGUAAAGCGCACGUAGGCGGAUUGCUAAGUCAGGGGUGAAAUCCUGGAGCUCAACUCCAGAACUGCCUUUGAUACUGGCGAUCUUGAGUCCGGGAGAGGUGAGUGGAACUGCGAGUGUAGAGGUGAAAUUCGUAGAUAUUCGCAAGAACACCAGUGGCGAAGGCGGCUCACUGGCCCGGUACUGACGCUGAGGUGCGACAGCGUGGGGAGCAAACGAGG